UACGUAGGGCGCAAGCGUUGUCCGGAAUUAUUGGGCGUAAAGAGCUCGUAGGUGGUCUGUUGCGUCGGCUGUGAAAACCCGGGGCUCAACCCCGGGCCUGCAGCCGAUACGGGCAGACUAGAGUGAUGUAGGGGAGACUGGAAUUCCUGGUGUAGCGGUGAAAUGCGCAGAUAUCAGGAGGAACACCGAUGGCGAAGGCAGGUCUCUGGGCAUUAACUGACGCUGAGGAGCGAAAGCAUGGGGAGCGAACAGG
rnacentral:rRNA from 1 species